AUACGUAGGUGGCAAGCGUUGUCCGGAAUUACUGGGCGUAAAGGGCGUGUAGGCGGGGAGACAAGUCGGAUGUGAAAAACCAUGGCUUAACUGUGGCGCUGCAUCUGAAACUGUUUUUCUUGAGUGCUGGAGAGGAAAGUGGAAUUCCCAGUGUAGCGGUGAAAUGCGUAGAGAUUGGGAGGAACACCAGUGGCGAAGGCGGCUUUCUGGACAGUAACUGACGCUGAGGCGCGAAAGCGUGGGGAGCAAACAGGAUUAGAUACCCUGGUAGUCCACGCCGUAAACGAUGGAUACUAGGUGUAGGAGGUAUCGACCCCUUCUGUGCCGGAGUAAACACAAUAAGUAUCCCGCCUGGGGAGUACGACCGCAAGGUUGAA
rnacentral:rRNA from 1 species